rnacentral:misc_RNA from 1 species
CCUCCUUUCUAAGGAUGAGUGAAAGUAAAAUUUCACUCUAAAUAAUAUACAUCGGUAAUGUUGACCGUCCUCAUUUCUCUUCUUAAAGUAAUGUUUCCUUCUUGUAGGGCCGGUAGCUCAGUUGGUUAGAGCACACCCUUAAUAAGGGUGGGGUCGAAAGUUCGAGUCUUUCUCGGCCCACCAAAAACCUAAAUGGGGGAUUAGCUCAUCUGGGAGAGCGCCUGAUUUGCAUUCAGGAGGUAGCAGGUUCGAUCCCUGUAUCCUCCACCAGGAAACAUUUAGUUAUUAAAACUGUAAAUAAAAAUAAUUUAUAUCAAUAUCUAUAUCCGAACAUUAAAAGUUAUUAAUUAAUGUUCAAAAUAAAAAUUUGAUCACAACAUAGAUNAAUUUUCUUUAAAAAGAAUUUUUUUCUGUGCAUAAAUCAAGCGUUUAAGGGCGUGUAGUGGAUGCCUGGGCACUGAAAGCCGAUGAAGGACGUGAUAUACUGCGAUAAGUUUCGGGGAGCUGUAUGUAAGCUUUGAUCCGAAAAUUCCGAAUG